rnacentral:misc_RNA from 1 species
UUGAGUUGAGUUGAGUUGAGUUUAUCUAAUGUAUCAAUUGAGCCUAACAAAUGUAAACAUGAAAAGGGAUACAGAAUACCAAAAUUACUGAGAAAAUGAGGUCAUUGCAUACAUACUAACAUUUACAAGUGGAUGCCCAAUAAGUUACACCUCUCAUAGAAGAAAUUGUUUUGAUGACCGUGCUCAGGAUUUUUUUUCCCCAAAAAGGAUUGCAACACAAACUAUUACAAUUAAUCUAGACCUUGAAAUUUUCAUCACCAUAAAACUUAUUAACUGCUCAAAUUUUAACACAAUUUAUUUUUGUUAGAAAGAAAAAUAGCGAGGGAAAUAUUAUUUUGAGAAAAGGGAGAGAGAACACUGACUUCUCUUGAAUAAAAUAUCUUAUUGACAAUGAAUCUACUAGCAUCAGUACAUAUAUAAAUCAUUAACCCAGAGAAAUCAAUAGAAUUAAGGGAACAUAAAAAUCUUUGUGGGGCAAAACCUAACAGGAAGAAAGACAAAAAAACCUUUGAGUGCAUCAUAUUCUCA